GGAAAUAUAAAUGCAAGUAAAACAGGUUAGAACUUCUUAACUUCCAGAAGAUAGGAGGAUGGGACCUGUGAUACUGUGCUGCUGGUGGGAGGACCCUUCCACAUCAACAUUUGUGUGUAUCCUUGCAAUAAACUUCCAUUGUGAAUUAUCUGUGCUUCCUGUCCUUCCAUGUCACACAAUAGUAAUUGCUAAAGAAGAGCUAGGAGCAUAGAUCUGUCUGAUUCUAAAGCCUUUGCUCUUUGAACUUUGAGAGCUUCUAUCUGUACUUAACCUGCCUCUAGGCAUGAAAAAACAAAUGUCCCUCAGUCUGACCGAUCUCUUAAUCCCUUUCUUAAAAUUUCAAUCUCUUGUCCUUGUUCUUUCCUGUUUAUAAAUAUGUUCAGUGUUCAGGAGAAAAACGUUAUUCCUACCACUUUACCUUCCAUAAUCUGGUCUUCCUCAGGUUUUACCAUAAAGUGAUAGCCAUUGGCAUAAUGGGAGCAAUGUGAUGUUCCAAGCACAACACUAAAGAAUAAAUGUUGACAAGCUUUAUCAUGUUAUCAUAAAUGUAAACGUUGGAGAUACUAUCUUGGCCAUUAUCAUCACCUCAAAUUGCUCCAUCUUCAAAAUACUUGCAUCUUAUUUAUUGACCAUAUUCCUUCCACUUGGGUGGUUUUCGUGCAAUAGGCUGAAUUUCCUUGCCUUUCAUCUCUUUUUGAACACUUAAAUAAAGUGAUACUUGUAAAGUUUCUCUAGGUUCUGUUCUUCUCACUCUAAUUUUCCUAGGAUAGUUUCAUCCCCACUCUGAACUUUAGUUACUGAUGACUUCCAGAUCCUCCUCCAAGCUAUUUGACAUCUCCACUUAAGUAUCUCAAAAACAUCCCAAACUCAACAUGUUUCCUAAUAAACUAUCCUAUGCCUGGUACUCAUCCAGUUGGAGAAGCUAGAAGGCAUUUGCCUUUUUCUAUCACUCAAUUGCCAAAUCU
rnacentral:lncRNA from 1 species